rnacentral:lncRNA from 1 species
AAGGUCUUUAAGUAGGUGAUUAAGUUAAAAUGAGUCAUUAGAGUGGGCUCUAAUCUAAUAUGACUAGUGUUGUUUUAAGAAGAGGAAGUUAGGACACAGACACAUACCGAGGGAAGAUGAUGUGAAGACACAGGGAGAAGACAGCCACCUACAAGGCAAGGAGAGAGGCCUCAGGAGAAACCAACCGUGCCAACAUUUUGAUCUCAAACUUCUAGCCUCCAGAACUGUGAGGAAACUGAGGCACAGAGAGCUCAUGCAACUUUCCCCGAGUCUUCCAACUAUUGUCUGAAGGACUUAAACCCAGGAAGUUGGUUACUGAAUUUAUUGUCUAACCAGUAAGACAUACUGCCUUUUUGUGUGGAGCAUAGUGACCUGAGGAAACAUCUUUCUGGAAAGUUGGCUUGUGCAGCACUUCUCAAAGUGUGGUCAAUGGACUCCUGGGGAGAUCCUCUGUGGAGUCUGUGAGGAUCCCUCCACAGCAUGGCUGACGAGUGGAGUAUGUCUGCACCCAGGAUCCGAAACCCCAAACCCAGGCCACCAAAAUGGAGCAUGGAACUUUCAACUACUCGGCAACAGGGCCACCAGGAAAGAGCCUCUUCUUAAUUCUUCUACUGGCUUUCUUGGGAUUUGAGCGGUAGGACUGUGCUCAAACAAUUGGCCUGCUUUUUUAGAAACAUGUAAAUCCAAAACUCCAGGGUGAAGGCAGUUAAUCUCAGUAUGCCUGGUCUCUCUCUGGAUGAUUUCUUUCCAGAUUACUUUGGUAGAGAAAUCAGAUUUCUCAGAAAGUAUAUUCACUUGAUAUUGAAGAAAAAACAAAAGGAAAACACACCUACAAAAGUAUGCAGCUGAAUCAUUUAUUGAUUAAAUUUCCUAAUAAAACAUCCAAAUCCAAAUUGCC